CCUACGGGAGGCAGCAGUGAGGAAUAUUGGUCAAUGGCCGGAAGUCUGAACCAGCCAUGCCGCGUGAAGGUCAGUGCCCUAUGGACGUUAAACUUCUUUUGUGCGGGAGCAAUAAUGUUCACGUCUGGCCAGACGAGAGUACCGUACGCAUCAUCAUCGGCUAACUCCGUGCCAGCAGCCGCGGUAAUACGGAGGAUGCAAGCGUUAUGCGGAUUUAUUUGGUUUAAAGGGUGCGUAGGCUGUGAGGUAAGUCAGGGGUGAAAUGCCCACGAUGAACGGGGUGAAGUGCCAUUGAUACUGCCUGGCUGGAAUGCGGAUGAGGUUAGAGGAAUGUGUGGUGUAGCGGUGAAAUGCAUAGAUAGCAGACAGAACACCGAUUGCGAAGGCAUCUAACGAAUCCGCGAUUGACGCUGAUGCACGAAAGCGUGGGUAGCAAACAGGAUUAGAUACCCGUGUAGUC
rnacentral:rRNA from 1 species